GAGCGAGGUAGCAAUACCUAGCGGCAGACGGGUGAGUAACAUGUGGGAAUCUGCCUUUUGGUUCGGAACAACACGGGGAAACCUGUGCUAAUACCGGAUAAGUCCUAACGGAGAAAGUUUUAAUGCCAAAAGAUGAGCCCGCAUUUGAUUAGUUUGUUGGUGAGGUAAUAGCUCACCAAGACUACAAUCAAUAGCUGAUUUGAGAGGACGAUCAGCCACACUGGAACUGAGACACGGUCCAGACUCC
rnacentral:rRNA from 1 species